rnacentral:rRNA from 1 species
GUGAGUGCUUGCACUUUGCUGACGAGUGGCGGACGGGUGAGUAAUACUUGGGAAUGUGCCUUUGUGAGGGGGAUAACUAUUGGAAACGAUAGCUAAUACCGCAUAACGUCUUCGGACCAAAGGGGGCUUCGGCUCCCGCGCAAAGAGCAGCCCAAGCGAGAUUAGCUAGUUGGUGGGGUAAAGGCCUACCAAGGCGACGAUCUCUAGCUGUUCUGAGAGGAAGAUCAGCCACACUGGGACUGAGACACGGCCCAGACUCCUACGGGAGGCAGCAGUGGGGAAUAUUGCACAAUGGGGGAAACCCUGAUGCAGCCAUGCCGCGUGUGUGAAGAAGGCCUUCGGGUUGUAAAGCACUUUCAGUCGCGAGGAAAGGGUGUGUGUUAAUACCACGCAUCUGUGACGUUAACGACAGAAGAAGCACCGGCUAACUCCGUGCCAGCAGCCGCGGUAAUACGGAGGGUGCGAGCGUUAAUCGGAAUUACUGGGCGUAAAGCGCACGCAGGCGGUUAUAUAAGCUAGAUGUGAAAGCCCCGGGCUCAACCUGGGAAUAGCAUUUAGAACUGUAUGACUAGAGUCUUGGAGAGGGGAGUGGAAUUCCAGGUGUAGCGGUGAAAUGCGUAGAUAUCUGGAGGAACAUCAGUGGCGAAGGCGACUCCCUGGCCAAAGACUGACGCUCAUGUGCGAAAGUGUGGGUAGCGAACAGGAUUAGAUACCCUGGUAGUCCACACCGUAAACGCUGUCUACUAGCUGUUUGUGUAUUAUAUACGUGAGUAGCGAAGCUAACGCGCUAAGUAGACCGCCUGGGGAGUACGGCCGCAAGGU